ACAGUUUAGGCUGGGAGCAGAAAUAAUCAACACGCCCAUUAGAUACAGGAUGGAAUAAUGCUUCUAUUGGUUGGGUCCCUUCGAGAGAGAACCAUUCUCUGCUUUCAAUAGGACAGAAGAGCUCCUUGGCACUGGAUGCCUCCGGGUCUGGUUGAGAGAGGAAUGGUUAGGAGAUUGUUCUGAGGAUAUGCAGACAUCAUCCAAAGCUUCCUACAUUCAGAUGAGGACAGAGGUUGGGCUAGAGCUUUGUAUGCUUGUUACCUAAGUAUGGUUCUGACCAUGUAAGCAGAUCACAGAAGCUGGAGGCAAAUGAUGCCAAGAUGGGAAAGCCACAUAAUGGAAGGAUCCCAGAUUUCAGAGCUGUCACUUGGAGGAGGGGCACACAGUGAAGGUGUCUAUCUAACCCACACCAUAUCUUCAUGAAGUGGCCAUAUGGAUUUGAUCCCUAUCCUUCAGAGGUGCUCAGCCUAAGGGAACAUGGGUAGAAGAUUAAGCACUGACCAGAGCCAGCCUUGACAAUGUGCUGAUGGCAACCUAGAACAUAAGCAGAGGAGUAUACAGGAUGAGAACUUGAUGGUCUCAGGAAAAAUGGACAACAUUUCCUCAGGUGAAAAAGAUUGAUCAUCAGAUGUUUCUUAUGUAUCAACCUGAUAUUUAAAUCCAUGAAGGAGAGAGAUGACAAAGGCAGGUGGAAUAGAUAGAGAAGAGGUUCAAGGUCUGAGCUCUACAUUACUCAAACUGUUAGAGAUUAGGAAGAAGAGGAAGACCUGGCAAAAGAAUGUCCUGGGAUGUAGAAAGAAAACCAGAAGCUUGCGGUCUCUGGAAACCAAAUGAAGAAAGGGCUUCCAGAAGGACAGACAAAGUGUAGUGUGUCAAAGGCUCCUGAGCAAUCAGAGGAGAGCACAAAGGGGCUCACAGGACUUUGGUAUCUGGAUCUCCCAGUGACACUUCCUGAUCAAGAGAAACUGUCAGACCAACAGGGGCACUUUCUGAAACCAGCAGUUCUUCAGUGCCCAAAUACAACCUUGAUGGUUUGAUUUUGGAGGAUGGCAAUUCACUAACAGCACUCCCCAGUGAUAAAUAUGAAAACCAAUAAAACCCCCCACCCAAGGUAACCUCUCCCAGCUCCUCGCUUUGAGUAAAGCGAGUAACCUCCAUUUCUGCCAACUCCUGUCUUGUCUGAAGCCACAUUUCCCCAGCAAUGUCACACAUAUGCAUUUCUUGAUCCUGGUCAUUUCUCCUCUUGGGAGAUGAAUCAUAAAGAAAAUGAGAUCUGUGUGCCCUGGUGACUAUGGAUGCAAGAGUCUGCUGCCCUGGAGGGAAGAGCUGGAAAAGUAGAUGGCAAAGGCGGGUGGGGUGGAAGCAGUGGAGAAGGCGUCUUUGCAGGGGAUCAAGGUGACAGAGUGAUUAGUUACGUUGUUUUGGCAUGUGAGAACAGGGGGUUAUAAAAAUGGAUACAGGAAGAGGGAGAGAAAGUAAGGACUAAAACAUGAAGCCAGUCAUGAAUGUUUUUACAUAAAAAGCAGCAGAUUUAUGGCAAAUAUGUGAUGUUUCCACAUUUUCUGCCCCCAGUUAGCAGGGGCAGCGCAAAUAGCAUUACUGUGGAGCUGAACUUUGGGUAAAAGAUUAACAGCCAGUCCUUUUUCUCCAGUGUCUGCUUCCUUCUGGGCUUUCCCUGGGGGAAAAGGAGGGCUGGCAUGGAUGUGCCUGCAGCCCUCACCCUGAAUGUUCUUCCACGCCUCUCUGUUCAUUCACUGUUUAGUCAUUCCUCAGGCAUAGAUUGGGCCCACUGUGUGCCCAGCACCGACCUGGCAUAGGAUGGACAUAGAGAUGGAAAAGGUACAGGGAGCAGGUGACAGAGACAAAGCAAGGUCAUGGAGAAUAGCAGAGUAAGACAGAAGAUGAAGGCAGAAGAUGGGGUUCUAGAGAAAGCGAGAGCAGGACUGACCCGUGUCUGCCUCACCUGUUAUUGCUGUAGCCUCUUCUCCUUGGAGUAUCCCUCCUGCUCUUGCAUCACCUUAGGAACUUGGAUCACAGAGGAAAGUUAUGGCCUGGAUAUGUUGUAGUAGGAGGGGAUAAACACAUUUGGAGACAGAAAUGCUUGGGGAGCGAGUGUUUUGGGGGGAUGAGACUUUCCAGGUCUCUCAAUUCACAGUAUGUAGGUAGUUCACUGCACAGCUUGAAUAAGAGACAACUCUCCGGAGUGGUUGGCUUUCAUCCAAAAAAUGUGUUUUGGGCCUCAGAUUUCCAACGGAAGGGCUGAAGCGUGACUCGCCUGACGUCAACUACUGAAGUCCACCUGCCCCUGCCCUAUCAG